GGCACAUUACAGCUGAUAUGAUUGAAAAUGCUUCCAUUGUCUGGGAGUUUCUGAAAGGGAGAAAGCUUCACGGGCUCUUGGCACUAGAUAGAGCAUAUCCAUUUAAGUUGAAUUGGGAUGCUUUAUAUGCCAAUACAACCCUACCUCUUGUUGUUGACGUAGGAAGUGGCAACGGUUUAUUUCUGACCAGAAUGGCAAAGAUGCG
rnacentral:misc_RNA from 1 species